GGUGAACGCUGGCGGCGUGCCUAAUACAUGCAAGUCGAACGAACGGACGAUAAGCUUUCUUCUCUGAUGUUAGCGGCGGACGGGUGAGUAACACGUGGAUAACCUACCUAUAAGACUGGGAGAACUUCGGAGAACCGUAGCUAAUACCGGAUAAUAUUUUGAACCGCAUGGAUCAAAAGUGAAAGACGGUCUUGCUGUCACUUAUAGAUGAAUCCGCGCUGCAUUAGCUAGUUGGUAAGGUAACGGCUUACCAAGGCAACGAUGCAUAGCCGACCUGAGAGGGUGAUCGGCCACACUGGAACUGAGACACGGUCCAGACUCCUACGGGAGGCAGCAGUAGGGAAUCUUCCGCAAUGGGCGAAAGCCUGACGGAGCAAUGCCGCGUGAGUGAUGAAGGUCUUCGGAUCGUAAAACUCUGUUAUUAGGGAAGAACAUAUGUGUAAGUAACUGUGCACAUCUUGACGGUACCUAAUCAGAAAGCCACGGCUAACUUCGUG
rnacentral:rRNA from 1 species